rnacentral:lncRNA from 1 species
AUGCCCAGUAAAGACACAGAAACUGUCUCUGCUACGGAGCAUAAGUAGCCAGAGCCACAGGCUAAGACAGGGUCUGUAACAGAAUCUAACAGUGAUGAAUCAGUACCAGAGCUUGAGGAACAAAAUUCCACACAGGCAACGACCACACAACAAGCCCAGUUGUCAGCAGCAGCUGAAAUUGAUGAAGAACCAGUCAAUAAUGCAAAACAGAAUUGGAGUGAAAAGAAGGCACAGAAGGUUAUAUCCAAACUGUGUUUUAAGCAGGUUACAGGGGUUACUAGAGACAUUAUUUGGAAAUCUAAGAAUACUCUGUCAUCACAAAACCAGAUGUCUGUAAGAUCCCAGCUUCAAAUACCGACAUGGUUUUUAAGGGAAGCUGAGAUUGAGGUUUAUCUCAGCAAGCACAGCUAGCGGCUACUGAGAAAUUCAAAUUUCAAGGUGAAGCUCUCUCAAACAUUCAAGGAAACAUGUAGCCUCUUCCAACUGUACAAGAGGAGAGUAAAGAGGAAGUUGAUGAAACAGGUGAGGAACUUGAUGAAACGUGUGAAAAUUAAGGACACAGAAUUGGUCAUGUUGCAAGCAAAUGUAUCAAGAACAAAGGCAGUUCAAGGCCUGAAGAACAACAGUAAUGAUAUUGUUAACGUGAGUAUGGAAUUAGCAAUU